GCGAACGCUGGCGGCGUGGCUAAGACAUGCAAGUCGAACGGACCGCAAGGUCAGUGGCGGAAGGGUGAGUAAUGUAUGGGUAACCUGCCCCGGACAGGAGCACAGCCGGCCGAAAGGGCCGGGUAAUUCUCCAUGACGUCUCUUCUGGACAUCCAGGAAGACCAAAGGUCCGCCGGUUCGGGAGGGGCCCAUAUCCCAUCAGCUUGUUGGCGGGGGUGACGGCCCACCAAGGCUUCAACGGGUAGCCGGACUGAGAGGUCGGCCGGCCACAUCGGGACUGAGACACUGCCCGGACUCCUACGGGGGGCUGCAGUAACGAAUCUUCCGCAAUGGGCGCAAGCCUGACGGAGCGACGCCGCGUGCGGGACGAAGUCCUUCGGAUGUAAACCGCUUUUCAGGGAAAGGAAUUCUGACCGUACCUGGAAUAAGCCACGGCUAACUCUGUGCCAGCAGCCGCGGUAAUACAGAGGUGGCAAGCGUUGCUCGGAAUCACUGGGCUUAAAGGGCGUGCAGGCGGCCGCGCAAGCAUCUUGUGAAAUCCCCCGGCUCAACCGGGGAACCGCUUGAUGAACUGCGCGGCUCGAGGGAGACAGGGGCGACCGGAACUCUGGGUGGAGCGGUGAAAUGCGUAGAUAUCCAGGGGAACGCCGGUGGUGAAAACGGGUCGCUGGGUCUUACCUGACGCUGAGGCGCGAAAGCCAGGGGAGCGAACGGGAUUAGAUACCCCGGUAGUCCUGGCCGUAAACGAUGUCGGACUGGGUUGGGGCGGUUUUACCGCCGUCUCAGCCGGAGCAAAGCGUUAAGUCGACCGCCUGGGAAAUACGGCCGCAAGGUUAAAACUCAAAGGAAUUGACGGGGGCUCACACAAGCGGUGGAGCAUGUGGUUCAAUUCGAGGCAACGCGAAGAACCUUACCUGGGCUUGACAGCCGCGGAUUAACUCUUGGAAACAGGAGCCACGCCUUCGGGUGGAACGCGGUACAGGUGCUGCAUGGCUGUCGUCAGCUCGUGCUGUGAAGUGUCGGGUUAAGUCCCACAACGAGCGAAACCCCUGUCGCCAGUUGCUAACAGGUUAAGCUGAGGACUCUGGCGAGACUGCCGGCGUCAAGCCGGAGGAAGGUGGGGAUGACGUCAAGUCAUCAUGGCCUUAUGCCCAGGGCCACACACGUGCUACAAUGCCGUAUACAGACCGACGCGAAACCGCAAGGCGGGGCCAAUCGGAAAAAAUACGGCCCAGUUCGGAUUGCGGGCUGCAAUUCGCCCGCAUGAAGCCGGAAUCGCUAGUAAUCGCGGAUCAGCCAUGCCGCGGUGAAUGUGUUCCUGAGCCUUGUACACACCGCCCGUCAAGUCAUGGGAGCCGACAGCACCCGAAGCCGCCCCGUCCAAAGGGUGUCUACGGUGAGGUCGGUGACUGGGACU
rnacentral:rRNA from 1 species